rnacentral:rRNA from 1 species
CCUACGGGAGGCAGCAGUAAGGAAUAUUGCGCAAUGGGCGAAAGCCUGACGCAGCGACGCCGCGUGGGGGAUGAAGGUCUUCGGAUUGUAAACCCCUUUCGGGAGGGAAGAUGGAAUGAGCAAUCAUUCGGACGGUACCUCCAGAGGCAGCCACGGCUAACUUCGUGCCAGCAGCCGCGGUAAUACGAAGGUGGCAAGCGUUGUUCGGAUUUACUGGGCGUACAGGGAGCGUAGGCGGUUUAGUAAGCCCUUUGUGAAAUCUCCAGGCUUAACCUGGAACAGUCGGAGGGGACUGCUAAGCUAGAGUACGGGAGAGGAGCGCGGAAUUCCCGGUGUAGCGGUGAAAUGCGUAGAGAUCGGGAGGAAGGCCGGUGGCGAAGGCGGCGCUCUGGAACGUUUCUGACGCUGAGGCUCGAAAGCGUGGGGAGCAAACAGGAUUAGAUACCCUGGUAGUCCACGCCUUAAACUAUGAAUACUAAGUGUCGGCGGUUUACCGCCGGUGCCGCAGCUAACGCAUUAAGUAUUCCGCCUGGGAAGUACGGCCGCAAGGUUGAAACUCAAAUGAAUUGACGG